rnacentral:snoRNA from 1 species
CUGCGUGUGCGUGGGAGGGGGCGUGAGUGUGUGUGUGUGCGUGGGUUUUGCGCGUGCCGCCGCCUACACGUUGAUCUUAUUUGAUCGGCCCCCGGCCGAGAUGAGAAGAGCCGCGCCGCGAAGCCCCCGGGCGCUGUGCGGCGGGCGGGCGGGAUGAGUCGAUCAGAUAGGCGAGGCCCGGCCCCGCGCCCGGCCCCUGAGCGCGCCGCGAUUCUGAUCCGC